rnacentral:rRNA from 1 species
CGGAUUGUAGUCUGCAACUCGACUACAUGAAGCUGGAAUCGCUAGUAAUCGCGGAUCAGAAUGCCGCGGUGAAUACGUUCCCGGGUCUUGUACACACCGCCCGUCACACCAUGGGAGUCGGAAAUGCCCGAAGCCAGUGACCCAACUGAAAGGAGGGAGCUGUCGAAGGCAGGUCUGAUAACUGGGGUGAAGUCGUAACAAGGUAGC